rnacentral:tRNA from 1 species
UUACCGAUUUUCACCAUAGCGGC